rnacentral:lncRNA from 1 species
AGAAGAAGACUAGAUGAUGUUUCCUUUCCUGCCCAAUUUAUCUGGUUAAAACGUCUGAUACACUGUUGAAUAGAAGAGGCAAGGGCACAUGUUCAUGUCUUGUUCCUGAUAUUGGGAGAAAGCAUCCCGUUUUUCACCACUCUGGCCAGGACAGCCUAUCUGUGCAGGAGGCAUUGCUGGCACCCCGUGGGGACUGAGGACCAAGGAGGAGCUGCUCCCCCACACACGGUUCGUACUUCUGCUCUGUGAAGAGAGACAACUGUGCCCUGUCACCUUCACUGAACUAUGAGCAGAAACGGGGUUUCACCAUGUUAGCCAAGAUGGUCUCGAUCUCCUGACCUCGCGAUCCGCCCGCCUUGGCCUCCCAAAGUGCUGGGAUUAUGCAUUCUCUCUUUACAUCACAGAGAUAUGGAAUCACCAAAGAAUAC